rnacentral:rRNA from 1 species
CCUACGGGAGGCUGCAGUGGGGAAUUUUGCGCAAUGCUCGUAAGAGUGACGCAGCGACGCCGCGUGAAUGACGAAGGCCUUCGGGUCGUAAAGUUCUUUCGACAGGGAAGAAAAUGCCUAUAAGUAACUGUGUAUGUAUUGACGGUACCUGUAUAAGCAGCACCGGCUAACUCCGUGCCAGCAGCCGCGGUAAUACGGAGGGGGCGAGCGUUGUUCGGAGGGACUGGGCGUAAAGAGCACGUAGGCGGUGUUGUAAGUCAUUAGUCAAAGACUAGAGCUCAACUUUAGUAAGGCUAGUGAUACUAUAAUACUAGAGUAUCAGAGAGGAUUGCAGAAUUCCUGGUGUAGCGGUGAAAUGCGUAGAUAUCAGGAGGAAUACCGUUAGCGAAGGCGGCAAUCUGGCUGGAAACUGACGCUGAGGUGCGAAAGCGUGGGUAGCAAACAGGAUUAGAUACCCUUGUAGUC